UUAGUUGGUUGUAUUGAUUGUUUUAGGGUUAUCUAUCUGUAGGAUUGGAAGACUGAAAGAUACAAAGAAAUUAUCAGAUCUGGGACUGUGGAGCCCAGACCUGGAGUAUUGAGAUUGAUGGAUGAGGCCAAGGAUGCUGGUAAAAAAUUAGCAGUCUGCUCUGCUGCAACUAAAGGUUCUGUUGUGCUCUGCCUUGAGAACCUUAUUGGAAUUGUAAGUCCUUCUCAGAAUU